rnacentral:rRNA from 1 species
CCAAUAGCGUAUAUUAAAGUUGUUGCAGUUAAAAAGCUCGUAGUUGAAUUUCGGGGUCAGUAGAUUGGUCAUGCCACUGGUAUGUACUGGUCUCACUGAUUCCUCCUUCCUGAUGAGCCGUAAUGCCAUUAAUUUGGUGUUGCGGGGAGACUGGACUGUUACUUUGAAAAAAUUAGAGUGUUUAAAGCAGGCUAACGCUUGAAUACAUUAGCAUGGAAUAAUGAAAUAGGACGUUCGAUCCUAUUUUGUUGGUUUCUAGGAUUGACGUAAUGAUUAAUAGGGAUAGUUGGGGGCAUUAGUAUUCAAUUGUCAGAGGUGAAAUUCUUGGAUUUAUUGAAGACUAACUACUGCGAAAGCAUUUGCCAAGGAUGUUUUCAUUAAUCAAGAACGAAAGUUAGGGGAUCGAAGACGAUCAGAUACCGUCGUAGUCUUAACCAUAAACUAUGCCGACUAGGGAUCGGAUGAUGUUAAUUUUAUAAUGACUCAUUCGGCACCUUACG